ensembl:misc_RNA 7SK 7SK RNA
AGACGCCGGGGUGCUCCAGCUGCAAUGUCUGUCACCCCGCUGAUCGCCAGGGUUGACUCGCUGAUCUGGCUGGCUGGCGGGUGCCCCCCUGCCCCCCUCACCGCCCCACGUGCGUCCCUCCCAAAGCUGCUCGGUCGAAGGGGACGACCUUCCCUGCUGGAGCCUCCCAACCAGCUGUCCAGGCCCAUCUGUGGGAGAACGUGUUGUGAGAACGUAGGGGAGUCAAGCUUCCAAGACUCCAGACACCUCCCAAAGAGGUGCUGCCUGUGGCCAUCUGCCUUUCAAA